AAAAGAACUUUGGAGAGAGAGUUAAAGAGGCCGCGAAACCGUUGGGAGGGAAACGCAUGCAGCCGAACGGGCCCGCGUCGAGUUCAGGGAACCGCGAGCGGUCCCGCGUGCGGUCGGCACCCCAGUGGGUCGUCCGUGCGUGUCGGGCCUCUCGUGCUCCUGCACUCUCGGCGGCGAGGGCCGGCCAAGUGCGGUGGGCACCGGGCGACGAGCACGCGUCGGGAAGGUAGCGCAGCCGUCUCGCGCGGAGGCGAACUUAUAGCCGGCCGUGCGGAGCGUCCGGAGCCCACCGAGGAGAGCGGUGGAGCUUCCACCCCCGUAGCGCAGGCCUGCCCGAGGGCGGGCCGGGGCGCUCACGUCCGUACGACCGCGACGCCGCGUCACUGCCUGCAGUGUCCGGCGUCCGUCGGUCCGUUCGGGCGAGAGGUCGUCUCACGCCUUGCGCUGUGGUCGCUUGGCCAGCCGUCGGCUGCAUUCGACCCGUC
rnacentral:sRNA from 1 species